rnacentral:lncRNA from 1 species
AGACAUGGAGAAGCCCCCACACAACUUCACAGCAGGGUGGCCCUGGAUGUUACCACCUAAAGCACAGCAGAGUACCUGAGACUGUGCCUCCCUGAACUUCUCUGAAACAAAACAAAAACCCUUGGUUGGCACCAUCUCACUUGGGAGGAGGCAGAUACCAGCUGAGAGGCAAAUCCAGAGCCUGCUACCCUCAUCCAGGACAUGUGCCUGCCUGCUUCCUAAUUUGGAAACAACAGUGUGUUCAGACCAGGGUAGAGGAAAGGAGCAAGAGCACUACAGUUUGCCCUCUGGCUGCCAGCAAACCAUCUUAGGAUUCAUUCUGAAUGUUUCAGGUUUCUGA